rnacentral:rRNA from 1 species
UCUACGGGUGGCAGCAGUGAGGAAUAUUGGUCAAUGGCCGGAAGGCUGAACCAGCCAAGCCGCGUGAGGGAGGAAGGCGCAGAGCGUCGCAGACCUCUUUUGCCGGGGGACAAAAGGCCGGACUCGUCCGGUCCUGAGGGUACCCGGAGAAAAAGCAUCGGCUAACUCCGUGCCAGCAGCCGCGGUAAUACGGAGGAUGCGAGCGUUAUCCGGAUUCAUUGGGUUUAAAGGGUGCGCAGGCGGGCUGUUAAGUCAGCGGUAAAAGCCCGGGGCUCAACCCCGGCGAGCCGUUGAAACUGGCUGUCUUGAGAUGUCGAGAGGUAUGCGGAAUGCGCAGUGUAGCGGUGAAAUGCUUAGAUAUUGCGCAGAACUCCGAUUGCGAAGGCAGCAUACCGGCGGCGAUCUGACGCUGAGGCACGAAAGCGUGGGUAUCGAACAGGAUUAGAUACCCCUGUAGUC